UAUAUUCUGUGUGGCUGACUGCUGCAACUUUAGUUCAUCUGUCUUAAAAUGAAAAGGGGCACAAUAAUAUUUUUUUCUUUACUGAGACAGGUUCUCACUGUUGCCUGAACCACGAGUGCAGUGGCACAAUCACCACUCACUGCAGCCUUGACUUCCGGGUUCAAGCCAUCCUCUCACCUCAGCUUCCUGAGUAGUUGGGACUACAGUUGCAUGCCACCAUGCCUGGCUAAUUUUUGUGGUUUUGUUUUUGUUUUGUUUUUGAGAUGGAGUCUUGCUCUGUUGCCCAGGCUGAGGCAGGAGAAUCGCUUGAGCCUGGGAGGCGGAGGUUGUGGUGGGCCAGGAUCACGCUACUUUACUCCAGUCUGGGCGAUGGAAUGAGACACAGUCUCAAAAAAAAAAA
rnacentral:lncRNA from 10 species